GUCUAACAGCCAGGAUGCAGCUGGAGGAAGAAUCUUGACGCUUGCUUCUCUCCUACGCUCACAGGGAAGAAGCCUUUGCAAAGAAGAGGGAGAAAACAAUUCUGAGGGAGGAAUGUCCUGUACAGAAAGGGACAGAAGAAAACCCAGAGGCACCAUUGCCUGUAUGAUAGGCAGCUGUGGGAUCCUUUAACUAGAUAACAGCAGUAGGAAGGUCCUCUCCUUGAGACGCAGCUGGUCUGGCCAACAAACACUGUGAGGAAGAGCCAGGAACCUGUUUCUGAGCACCUCAGGGAUGAUGACUCCACCACCUCUCUGGGCAGCCCAUUCCAGCGCCUCACUAUGAUAUCAGGCUCAUCUCUGAGACUGCUGCCGGGAGAUCUGCACAUGUGGGGCUCUUCCUCCCUCUUUUGCCCUUGUGCCAGGCAAGGCUCAACACUGAGACCGGCACCACCAAGGCCUGUGCUGAUGCGGCGCUCUCUGCUGACGCUCGCAGGGGUCAUUCUCCAUCAGAUGAGGAGGUCCCAAAUGCAAGGAAGAGCCAAGUACAAAAUGCAAAUACUUAGAAAGGCAGGACACAAGAGAGAAGUUGGGAUGCGUUUCUUUGCAUGUGCCUUUCCUAAUCUGCUUGAGCUGUCUGAUGUCUUCAUACCUAAUAUAUUCUGCGUCUUUGAUCUGAGCUGGAGGAUGUAUUGAGGAGGAACAGUGAUUCACAGGAGAACAGGAUAUCCACAGGGAAGCCAGGUACCCAGUCCAGCAGAAUUCAUCAGCGCUAGGUGUGGGAGCUCUUGCUCUGAAACACUGUAAAUAAGAGAGAGUCAGAGGUUAUUAUAGGGAUGGGAAUAAACAAAGAAACACUAUUUAAACCUCCAAGCGUCAAAAAUGGUUUCUGAACGCCCACUCGAUCUGUUGGCAAAGCAAAACUCUGAAGUCCAGAAGAAAACAUCAAUAUCUACUUUGCAAAGAGCCUCUGUUUCAACAUUUGCUUCUGUUUUGGCUUCUGGAUUGUUUUUCCAAACUAGGGACACGCCUAGCAUUGGCCAACGGGGCUGAAACACCGGAUGCUGCCUUCGGGUGCCCAAGCACCCCAGAGACCUGGUCAACCCCAACCUUCAGCAUGGAGCACUGCCUGCAGGGUGUCUGGCGGCCCUGUGGUCCUGACGGGAGGAGGUAUUUGGUGUUGACACUGAAGAACCUUGCUCACAAAUGCCUGCAGUCGGUUUAGGUGGAACUCCUAAAGCACAAGGAGGAUGUUUUAAGCACCUAACUUAACAAAAAGAGGACAUGGUAGAUAUACUGGAACUCACAAACAGCCUUCAGCUGGCCUAUUUCCAGCGUCAAUGCCUUGUGCAUGGUAAUGGAUUUCAAAUUCACUAAAGAACACAGCUACAAAACCAAACAGGCCUUAACAUUUGACCUUCUUAGGGAAAACAAGCCUCCUAUUACCAAAGAAAACUAAGCAUGCCUGGCUAAUUUACUGAUCUUAGGGCAAGCUUUCUUUCCAUGACAGAACCUGAGGAAUGUAAAGCCUGCUUAUCUUUCAGCUAGCAUGGUUUCCUUUGGUCUCUCAUGGAGUAUCUGCAAAUCACCAUUCAUCUCCUAACACAUGGACUUGUCCUGUCUGUGUGGAGGGGACCAGCAACACGUUUGCCAUAAGGCUUUUUUAUGAUUCAGCAUUUCUGGAACAAAACACGAACAUCAAAUCAAAUAAUUACAUGCUGUUACAUCCUUGUUGCUGUUUGCUCAUCCACCCACAGCCAUUCCACUUAAGAUUAUCUAAUAAACAAUCUGAAGUAUUUUAGAGUAGCCUGUUUUUAUCCUCAGCCAAGAAGAGUUAGCAAUCCAAUGUUAAGCUAGCAGUUCCAAGUCUAUGACAGCGGUCUGACCCUCGACACAAAAGACAUUAAUGGUUUCUACGUGACCUAAGGCUCUAAUAUUUUAUAUAUUGUUAAAGAUGGCCAUCCAUAGGUGUAGAGAGCCUCACUAGGCAAAGGAGAAUUCCUCAAGGCUUGGAAGGACUAUUCUAGCCACAUGUUUUUUAAGACAUUCCUAAUUUAACAUUCACAACUAGAGACUGACCGUAACACAUAGUCUAUGACGGCCGACACCUGCUGUUCAUCUUACAAAGCCUGACAGGAAGGUAAGGAUUCCCUGCUAGGGGAUGUCUCAAAGGAACUUUCAAAAGCAACAGAAGUAGGGGCCCUGCAGAUGAAUCAGCUGAAGGCUGUCUUGAGCAAGCACUCUUUAUUGUAGAUUAUUUGGUUUCCCUGGCUUUUGGCAAGUCAGCCACACCAAAACUGGUCUUUUUUUCAGGAAACCAUCUCCAUGCUGUCUUUGAAAGCCUAUUCAUGGGUUUAAACUGAAGUGUUGAUAAAACUUUUGGUGAGGAUUAUCUUGCAAAAACGAGGACUUCUGGAAAAAGUAUCAUGAAAGACAUUUUGUGUUCUAUUUAACGUGCAUGUCAGUACACUGAAGACGAGAUAGAUCUGUUAUUGCUGUAUUAAGAAGCCAUUCAGAACUUUUAGUUCUGCAACGUAAAGCAAAAUGUAUUUUUGUUUUAAGGUGCAUCUUUGCUUUUGUGGUGACCCAGGCUGUGUUCAGCCAAUGAAUGCAGUCUGAAAUAAAGCACAUUCAAUGUGUGUUUUAAUUUGUGUAUAUGUAAAAUUCCCGUGAGGCAUGGGGAUGUAAUGCUACAGAUAGAGAGGUCUUGGGCUGACUACAGCUGAAGCAGCUGCCAGCGUUUUAGGUCUCGUAUUAAGAAGGAACAGGUAGGUCAUGCUGUAGCUUAUUAACCCCAAAUACAGGAUAUAGUCACAUUAUUUUAAUAGAGUCCCUGUCCUAAAACCAAUAUUGUCACAUGGACUGCAAGAGAACAAGCUGUCUUCAAAACCUGACGUCUACCUUAGCAGCAAACAUCAUGUCCUGUAAUGAGAAAUCAAUUGCAGUCCAAGCUGAAAGGAGAGCUCCAGGCAACCGCUCAAUUCUUUUUCUAGAGAAGGCCCCUGGCACUUAACAGGGAAGCAUCUGCAUGCCUCUCACAGAAGCUGACCAUGUCAUGUCCUUACUGUAGCUGUACUCGUGCCCAGUCUUUAGCCAGCACCUGUUUGCACCCUGUUGAUGGGAAUAGGUUGUGUGAAGAUGCCAGACUGUGACUGGGUGCACAGAGGAGAAACACGCACCCUGGCCUUUGAAUGUUUGAACAGCUGUCCUGGAUUUGCCAGAGGAUGUCUGACAGAGUCGUUAAAAAUUGAUCCCUGAGUAAACAACCCAAUGCUAUUUACUCCAAUUCAGCUGUGAUAAUUUACACCAUCCGAAGACUGCCAGUGCCUAAUCCUGAACUGUCAAAUCUCUGUGAUGUUUGCUACUAACUUGAACAGAAGGAUCCCUGAGGUAAGGGGAGUGCAAUUGCACACUACUACUACAGUGCACCACUAUUGAUUUGAAAGAAGAAAAUGAAGAUAUCACGCAAUUUAAAAUAGAAAAAGAAUUAAUUCAGAUUGAAAAUAUAAUUGCUAGCAGCAUUCCUACUUUGUGCAAAUGCAGAACACUUGUGUGCAUGUGUACAGCAUAGAUAUUGGUUACGUGCACGAUUAGAAUGGAACCAACAGGCACUGACAGAGGAGAGGUAGGGAGUGUAACCUUCUCUCUGCUCUGCUCAUUUUUCUAGGAUUUUUUUUCCCAUUGCCCAGUGCUAUAGAAGUACCUCACGGAAAACUCAUUUGGAAACAUUUUAGAGGGAAGGAAAACAGUACAGUCGUCAGGGUGGCAAAUGCCUAUCUUCUAGGAAAGUGUGAUGUCCUCCCAACUCCAUUUAACAACAUUAGAUAUAUCCAAGAUCCUGCUUCAAGUGAAUACUUCCUCAUCUGCUUUACAUGGUGAAGUGUGGUGACUGCUCGCCGUCUCUUGGUCCUUUUCCUCUAUUUAACUGCUGUUGACUUACCAAACGACAGACAUCUUAACUUUCCUCGUUAUGACAUUAUCUGUUGUCUUGUCAUUCCUGCUCUUCAAGAUACCGCUUCCAUCUCUUGACCUUGUUGUCUUCAAAACACCUGGAACAGAAAAGAUACGCAUGUAGACGGUCUGAUUCACCAGGCUGAAUUUUGUGUUCAAUUGGUGACUGCUUCUCUGUGCCAGUACAGUACUUCCUGGCAUUAAUUCUCAGAACACGAGCAGAGAAAAACUGCUAGUUAAAUAAAUAUUUAAGAUGCGUAUAUGGUAAA